GUGUUUGGGAGUGACAACAGCGAGUCAGGGCAAGGCGGCCGGCCCAGCUCACCUGCGGGCUGCAGUCAGCCCGGACGCCGAGACCCGUGCCUAAGGCCCCCGUGCCCCAGGCCUCCCAGGGGUGCUGAGCGCCCCCAGGCCCAGAAUCUCCGGGGGCCCGGGCAAGGCUGUCAGGUGCCUGGCACGGUUGCUGUCCAGGGCUUAGAGGACAGAGGAAGAGCCCCUGAGUCUGUGCACACUCUGCCACCAUGGCCCUGCCCACCUCUGGAGCCCACAGGUGCCCAGCCCAGGCCCCUUGCUUUUGGCUAGACUCCUGCCCUACGGGGACCCCCAUGAUGGCCACUCAGGAGAUGGGCCCAGG
ensembl:lncRNA novel transcript, antisense to ACTG1